AGUCUGGGACAACCUUGGGAAACUGAGGCUAAACCCGGAUAGGAAAUAAUGCCUGGAAUGGCUCUUUUCUGAAAAGCAAUGCUGAAGGAUGAGUUGGCGGCGGAUUAGGUAGUUGGUGAGGUAAAGGCUCACCAAGCCAAAGAUCCGUAGGGGCCUUGAGAGAGGGAGCCCCGAGAAGGACACUGAGAUACUGGUCCUAGCCCUACGGGGUGCAGCAGGCGCGGAAACUCCACACUGCACGCAAGUGUGAUGGGGGGAUCCCGAGUGCUUAUGUUUUACAUAGGCUUUUGCCAAGAGUAAAAAUCUUGGCGAAUAAGUGGUGGGCAAGACUGGUGCCAGCAGCCGCGGUAACCCCAGCGCCACAAGUGGCAAUCGCUAUUAUUGGGCCUAAAGCGUCCGUAGCCGGCCGAGUAAAUCUUUUGUGAAAUUGUCCCGCUUAACGGGACAACGUGCAGAAGACACUGCUUGGCUCGGAACCGGGAGGAGUCAGAGGUAUGCUGGGGGGAGCGGUAAAAUGUGAUAAUCCCCAGUAGACCACCUGUGGCGAAGGCGUCUGACUAGAACGGAUUCGACGGUGAGGGACGAAAGCCAGGGGAGCAAAACGGAUUAGAUACCCGAGUAGUCCUGGCUGUAAACGCUGCGAACUAGGUGUUGCGCAAGCUAUAUGCUUGUGCAGUACCGGAGCGAAGGUGUUAAGUUCGCCGCCUGGGAAGUACGGUCGCAAGACUGAAACUUAAAGGAAUUGGCGGGG
rnacentral:rRNA from 1 species